AUGUGUGUAGGAGUAAGCAGUAAAUUAAGUGGAAACAUGGAAACACUUAAUAUACUGCUUUUAAA
rnacentral:ncRNA from 2 species